UCCCAUGACCAAAUUCAAAAUUACCUUGAACGCUCCGAGUCUUGUCAGAUCUCAGAAGCGAAGCUGGUUAGACACUGGUGAGUACUUGGAUGUGAGAUUCCCUGGGAAUGUCAGGUGUUAUAGGCU
rnacentral:rRNA from 1 species